GGGGAAUGGGACUGCUUGGGGUGGUCGCCUGCUUUGCACGCAGGAAAUUUCAGAAGGGUUCAAAUCCCUUAUUCUCCACCA
rnacentral:tRNA from 1 species